GCCCGGCAGGGGGGUGGCUGGCGGAGGAAGGGAAUGGUCCAGGAUCAGCUACGCGAGUUUCCAGGUUGUCCCCUGCUUUUCCCUAGAAUGUCAGGUGAUGUGUCAUCCUAA
rnacentral:pre_miRNA from 1 species